rnacentral:rRNA from 1 species
CCUACGGGUGGCUGCAGUGAGGAAUAUUGGUCAAUGGGAGAGAUCCUGAACCAGCCAAGCCGCGUGAGGGAAGACGGCCCUAUGGGUUGUAAACCUCUUUUGUCGGAGAACAAAACCCGGGACGAGUCCCGGACUGCGUGUAUCCGAAGAAAAAGCAUCGGCUAACUCCGUGCCAGCAGCCGCGGUAAUACGGAGGAUGAGAGCGUUAUCCGGAUGUAUUGGGUUUAAAGGGUGCGUAGUCGGUCUGUUAAGUCAGCGGUAAAAUUGCGGGGUGAAACCCCGUAGAGCCGUUGAAACUGGCAGACUUGAGUGGGCGAGAAGUACGCGGAAUGCGCGGUGUAGCGGUGAAAUGCAUAGAUAUCGCGCAGAACUCCGAUUGCGAAGGCAGCGUACCGGCGCCAGACUGACGCUGAGGCACGAAAGCGUGGGGAUCGAACAGGAUUAGAUACCCUUGUAGUC